rnacentral:lncRNA from 1 species
AAAUUCUGCUGCUUUUGGCCUCUCACAGAAAGAACCUCACUGCACUACCCCUGCAGUUUUGAACCUCACUGGUUACUCCAGCACACAGAUUUUCUUCUCCUGAAAAUCUGCCACCAAUGCCCAGAAAUCACCCUCACAAUUCUGGACAGGCUAACCUUCGCUGGACUGUUCUUCUACAGCCAAAAUCACCCUUGCCGAAACUGCUCAGCAACUUGCCCAGAAACUGGCAGAAAUAACCUCACUUCCUGCCAAACCAGCACCCCAAUAAUUUUGGCAGACUCUUGCCCAGAAUCAGCUGGAAAUAACCUCUCAAAGGCAAGCUGAACCUCACUGAAGCAGCAAUACCACCCUUUGGUAUUUUGGCAACUCCAAUCGCAGCAGCAAUAAACCUCACUAUAUGUUACCGCUGGCCAACCAGAACCGGGCAGAAUUUGCCUCCAAUGGCUCUGAUACCACUUCCCAAUGGUAUCAGCAGAAUGAACCUCGGCAGAAGUAGGCUCUGAUACCACUUCCCAAUGGUAUCAGCAGAAUGGACCUCAGCAGAAGUAGGCUCUGAUACCACUUGUCACGGGCUUAAUGAUUCCAACCCCGAAAAUCGCUUAAGCCGUGCGGCACUCAGCUCAGUCCGUCGAGCUAAGUCA